GGGGUUGUGGCUUAGUGGUAGAGCGCUCGCCUACCAUGCGUGAGUCACUGGGUUCUAUCCUCAGCACCACA
rnacentral:tRNA from 1 species